UACCGCCACCAUUCGCAUCGUAAUCAUACUCGCUCUCCGGUUACACACAAAACUUUAAUAAUUUCAAAGUUUGUAUUGUCGUAAAGUCAACUGAAGAAUAAUUAAAAUUAUACGAGAUUCGACGCUGGAUUAUUUUUCCAAAUUGUCAUAAGCGAAAAAUUUACAAAUUGUUUAGAAGGAGAAAAUGAUUAUUCCCGUAAGAUGUUUCACAUGUGGUAAAGUAAUUGGGAAUAAGUGGGAGGCGUAUUUGGGUCUCUUGCAGGCAGAAUACACGGAAGGGGAUGCUUUGGAUGCGCUCGGAUUGAAGCGUUACUGCUGUCGGAGGAUGUUGCUGGGACAUGUUGAUCUUAUCGAGAAACUUUUAAAUUAUGCUCCUCUUGAAAAAUAUAAUUAGAUUAUACACCACUAACGCCUAAUUGUGAUUUUAGCAAUAGAUGCAAAUGUUUAGAGCGUUUCUUUUCUACACAUACUAUAAAUGUUUUGACCAUUAUUCAAUAGAAUCUUUGUUUUAUUACAUAAAUGUAAAGAUAUGAAGUCAUAUAUUAAAUUUUAUACUUAAGUAUUCUCAUAAAA